rnacentral:rRNA from 1 species
UUAGGGCACUGGAAGGUCCCUAAACCGAAAGGGGCUCUGCCCGCCCGAGGAUGGGCCGGCGGCCGAUUAGGUAGUUGGUGGGGUAACGGCCCACCAAGCCCAUAAUCGGUACGGGCAGUGAGAGCUGGAGCCCGGAGAUGGACACUGAGACACGGGUCCAGGCCCUACGGGGCGCAGCAGGCGCGAAACCUCCGCAAUGCUCGAAAGAGCGACGGGGGGACCCCAAGUGCCGUGGUACAACCACGGCUUUCCCGGAGUGUAAGAAGCUCCGGGAAUAAGGGCUGGGCAAGGCCGGUGGCAGCCGCCGCGGUAAUACCGGCGGCCCGAGUGGUGGCCACUAUUAUUGGGCCUAAAGCGUCCGUAGCCGGGCUUGUAAGUCCCUGGCGAAAUCCCACGGCUCAACCGUGGGGCUUGCUGGGGAUACUGCAAGCCUUGGGACCGGGAGAGGCCGGGGGUACUCCUGGGGUAGGGGUGAAAUCCUAUAAUCCCAGGAGGACCGCCAGUGGCGAAGGCGCCCGGCUGGAACGGGUCCGACGGUGAGGGACGAAGGCCAGGGGAGCAAACCGGAUUAGAUACCCGGGUAGUCCUGGCUGUAAAGGAUGCGGGCUAGGUGUUGCUUGGACCUCGAGUCCAAGCAGUGCCGCAGGGAAGCC